GGAUUCGGUAGCUUGCUACCGAUGAGAGUGGCGCACGGGUGCGUAACGCGUGAGCAACCUGCCUGCUUCAGGGGGAUAGCCCGGAGAAAUCCGGAUUAAGCCCGCAUAUGAUCACGCUGUUGCAUGACAGGGUGAUGAAAUAUUUAUAGGAAGCAGAUGGGCUCGCGUGACAUUAGCUUGUUGGUAGGGUAACGGCCUACCAAGGCGACGAUGUCUAGGGGCUCUGAGAGGAGAACCCCCCACACUGGUACUGAGACACGGACCAGACUCCUACGGGAGGCAGCAGUAAGGAAUAUUGGUCAAUGGAGGGAACUCUGAACCAGCCAUGCCGCGUGCAGGAAGACGGCCCUACGGGUUGUAAACUGCUUUUGCACGGGAAUAACCCUCGCUAUGUAUAGUGAGCUGAAUGUACCGUGAGAAUAAGGAUCGGCUAACUCCGUGCCAGCAGCCGCGGUAAUACGGAGGAUCCGAGCGUUAUCCGGAAUUAUUGGGUUUAAAGGGUGCGUAGGCGGGAUGCUAAGUCAGGGGUGAAAGACGGUGGCUCAACCAUCGCAGUGCCUUUGAUACUGGUGUCCUUGAAUGUAGAUGAGGUAGGCGGAAUGUGGCAAGUAGCGGUGAAAUGCAUAGAUAUGCCACAGAACACCGAUUGC
rnacentral:rRNA from 2 species